GAUGAACGCUGGCGGCGUGCCUAAUACAUGCAAGUCGAGCGAACGGACGAGAAGCUUGCUUCUCUGAUGUUAGCGGCGGACGGGUGAGUAACACGUGGAUAACCUACCUAUAAGACUGGGAUAACUUCGGGAAACCGGAGCUAAUACCGGAUAAUAUUUUGAACCGCAUGGUUCAAAAGUGAAAGACGGUCUUGCUGUCACUUAUAGAUGGAUCCGCGCUGCAUUAGCUAGUUGGUAAGGUAACGGCUUACCAAGGCAACGAUGCAUAGCCGACCUGAGAGGGGGAUCGGCCACAAUGGAAAUGAGGCCCCGGCCAGACACCUACGGGAGGCAGGAGGAGGGAAUCUUCCGGAAUGGGCGAAAGCCUGACGGAGCAACGGCGGGGGAGUGAAGAAAGUCUUCGGAUCGUAAAACCCUGUUAUUAGGGAAAAACAUAAUGUUAAGUAACUGUGCACAACUGGACGGGACCUAAUCAGAAAGCCACGGCUAACUGCGU
rnacentral:rRNA from 1 species